rnacentral:tRNA from 2 species
GGGCUGGUAGCUCAGUUGGUUAGAGUGUUGCGUUGACAUCGCAAAGGUCAGAGGUUCAAAUCCUCUCCAGCCCACCA